rnacentral:ncRNA from 1 species
UAUAAAGCUAUGAAGAGUAUCUAUUAAGUCUUAUUUCCCUGUUAUAGAGAGUCAGUGGUUGGUGAAAACUGAUACAAAGGUAAGAUGAAUUUCAGCUUGGAGCUUUUUCUUGCUGCAUGUAUUAUGCAGGAAGAACGGAAGAAUCCGUUAACAUGUCAAGUGGAAAGUCACAUGCUUUCAAAAAGGGUGGUACCGCGUGAAUCAAAUCACGUCCCUUUU